rnacentral:tRNA from 1 species
GCCAGUGUGGUGUAGUGGUUUGAAUGUUGGCCUAUGAUUCUGAAGACCAGGGUUCGAAUCUCUGAUCAGACA